UACGUAGGGUGCGAGCGUUGUCCGGAAUUAUUGGGCGUAAAGGGCUCGUAGGCGGUUUGUCGCGUCGGGAGUGAAAACCUUGGGCUUAACUCAGGGCUUGCUUUCGAUACGGGCAGACUAGAGGUAUGCAGGGGGAGAACGGAAUUCCUGGUGUAGCGGUGAAAAUGCGCAGAUAUCAGGAGGAACACCGGUGGCGAAGGCGGUUCUCUGGGCAUGAUCUGACGCUGAGGAGCGAAAGUGUGGGGAGCGAACAGG
rnacentral:rRNA from 1 species